rnacentral:rRNA from 1 species
GGGUUGUGAGGUUAAGCGACUAAGCGUACACGGUGGAUGCCCUGGCAGUCAGAGGCGAUGAAGGACGUGCUAAUCUGCGAAAAGCGUCGGUAAGGUGAUAUGAACCGUUAUAGCCGGCGAUGUCCGAAUGGGGAAACCCAGUGCAAUUCGUUGCACUAUCGUUAACUGAAUACAUAGGUUAACGAGGCGAACCGGGGGAACUGAAACAUCUAAGUACCCCGAGGAAAAGAAAUCAACCGAGAUUCCCCCAGUAGCGGCGAGCGAACGGGGAGCAGCCCAGAGUCUGAAUCAGCUUGUGUGUUAGUGGAACGGUCUGGAAAGUCCGACGGUACAGGGUGAUAGUCCCGUACACCAAAAUGCACAGGUUGUGAACUCGAAGAGUAGGGCGGGACACGUGGUAUCCUGUCUGAAUAUGGGGGGACCAUCCUCCAAGGCUAAAUACUCCUGACUGACCGAUAGUGAACCAGUACCGUGAGGGAAAGGCGAAAAGAACCCCGGCGAGGGGAGUGAAAAAGAACCUGAAACCGUGUACGUACAAGCAGUGGGAGCACCUUCGGGUGUGACUGCGUACCUUUUGUAUAAUGGGUCAGCGACUUAUAUUCUGUAGCAAGGUUAACCGUAUAGGGGAGCCGCAGGGAAACCGAGUCUUAACUGGGCGUUAAGUUGCAGGGUAUAGACCCGAAACCCGGUGAUCUAGCCAUGGGCAGGUUGAAGGUUGGGUAACACUAACUGGAGGACCGAACCGACUAAUGUUGAAAAAUUAGCGGAUGACUUGUGGCUGGGGGUGAAAGGCCAAUCAAACCGGGAGAUAGCUGGUUCUCCCCGAAAGCUAUUUAGGUAGCGCCUCGUGAACUCAUCUUCGGGGGUAGAGCACUGUUUCGGCUAGGGGGUCAUCCCGACUUACCAACCCGAUGCAAACUACGAAUACCGAAGAAUGUUAUCACGGGAGACACACGGCGGGUGCUAACGUCCGUCGUGAAGAGGGAAACAACCCAGACCGCCAGCUAAGGUCCCAAAGUCAUGGUUAAGUGGGAAACGAUGUGGGAAGGCACAGACAGCCAGGAUGUUGGCUUAGAAGCAGCCAUCAUUUAAAGAAAGCGUAAUAGCUCACUGGUCGAGUCGGCCUGCGCGGAAGAUGUAACGGGGCUAAACCAUGCACCGAAGCUGCGGCAGCGACACUAUGUGUUGUUGGGUAGGGGAGCGUUCUGUAAGCCUGCGAAGGUGUGCUGUGAGGCAUGCUGGAGGUAUCAGAAGUGCGAAUGCUGACAUAAGUAACGAUAAAGCGGGUGAAAAGCCCGCUCGCCGGAAGACCAAGGGUUCCUGUCCAACGUUAAUCGGGGCAGGGUGAGUCGACCCCUAAGGCGAGGCCGAAAGGCGUAGUCGAUGGGAAACAGGUUAAUAUUCCUGUACUUGGUGUUACUGCGAAGGGGGGACGGAGAAGGCUAUGUUAGCCGGGCGACGGUUGUCCCGGUUUAAGCAUGUAGGCUGGUUAUCCAGGCAAAUCCGGAUAAUCAAGGCUGAGGUGUGAUGACGAGGCACUACGGUGCUGAAGUAACAAAUGCCCUGCUUCCAGGAAAAGCCUCUAAGCAUCAGGUAACAUCAAAUCGUACCCCAAACCGACACAGGUGGUCAGGUAGAGAAUACCAAGGCGCUUGAGAGAACUCGGGUGAAGGAACUAGGCAAAAUGGUGCCGUAACUUCGGGAGAAGGCACGCUGGUGUGUAGGUGAAGCCCCUGCGGGUGGAGCUGAGACCAGUCGAAGAUACCAGCUGGCUGCAACUGUUUAUUAAAAACACAGCACUGUGCAAACACGAAAGUGGACGUAUACGGUGUGACGCCUGCCCGGUGCCGGAAGGUUAAUUGAUGGGGUUAUCCGUAAGGAGAAGCUCUUGAUCGAAGCCCCGGUAAACGGCGGCCGUAACUAUAACGGUCCUAAGGUAGCGAAAUUCCUUGUCGGGUAAGUUCCGACCUGCACGAAUGGCGUAAUGAUGGCCAGGCUGUCUCCACCCGAGACUCAGUGAAAUUGAACUCGCUGUGAAGAUGCAGUGUACCCGCGGCAAGACGGAAAGACCCCGUGAACCUUUACUAUAGCUUGACACUGAACAUUGAGCCUUGAUGUGUAGGAUAGGUGGGAGGCUUUGAAGCGUGGACGCCAGUCUGCGUGGAGCCAACCUUGAAAUACCACCCUUUAAUGUUUGAUGUUCUAACGUUGGCCCCUGACCGGGGUUGCGGACAGUGUCUGGUGGGUAGUUUGACUGGGGCGGUCUCCUCCCAAAGCGUAACGGAGGAGCACGAAGGUUAGCUAAUCCUGGUCGGACAUCAGGAGGUUAGUGCAAUGGCAUAAGCUAGCUUGACUGCGAGCGUGACGGCGCGAGCAGGUGCGAAAGCAGGUCAUAGUGAUCCGGUGGUUCUGAAUGGAAGGGCCAUCGCUCAACGGAUAAAAGGUACUCCGGGGAUAACAGGCUGAUACCGCCCAAGAGUUCAUAUCGACGGCGGUGUUUGGCACCUCGAUGUCGGCUCAUCACAUCCUGGGGCUGAAGUAGGUCCCAAGGGUAUGGCUGUUCGCCAUUUAAAGUGGUACGCGAGCUGGGUUUAGAACGUCGUGAGACAGUUCGGUCCCUAUCUGCCGUGGGCGCUGGAGAAUUGAGGGGGGCUGCUCCUAGUACGAGAGGACCGGAGUGGACGCAUCACUGGUGUUCGGGUUGUCAUGCCAAUGGCACUGCCCGGUAGCUAAAUGCGGAAGAGAUAAGUGCUGAAAGCAUCUAAGCACGAAACUUGCCCCGAGAUGAGUUCUCCCUGAGACUUUAAGUCUCCUGAAGGAACGUU